CCGAUUCGCUGCCUGCCUGGCACAGCACUCCCCAGACUCGGGUUGCGAAGGGACCUGCCUGCGAGGCGUCCCUGGGCAGGCCGAUCCAGGUUGCGUCACCGACUUGCUCCAGCCCUUGCCGAGUAAUGAACUGUCCGGGCAAUUUGUGACCAUUGAGGACACAUGGCAGUAGAGCUGUUGUUUCUCUCCCACCCAGAGUUAUGGGGCUUCUGUUGAAGAAAACACUUGUGCUGUGUAUGACAGCUCUUUUAAGCCUCAUUCGAAUGAGUCAACACGCCCCAACUGCAUGGAACAGCUGCGAACAGCGGAUUGAACACAAUGUUGCUUCUUCACUAUAAGACAAAAUGAAAGAGUUUUUUUCCAGAAGAAUGUAUAACCACCAAAGAACUAUCAAAUACUAAAAUAAAAUAUUCAGAAAAGGGCAGAAUAGAAGCUUGGGAGUAGCUUUCAUUUAGUGAACGAUGUACAAAAUUAAAUAAAAAACAUAGGGAGCAUAGGAAAUAGUCAGAAGAAAUGCCAGAGACAUUCAUAAAAACCACAUGUGCUUGUUUUCCUAGGCAGAAGCCAUUUUCUUAGCUUAUUUUCCUACGGAGAAAUGAUUGAGUGGUUGGGGUUUGUAAUGGCCAUACAAAGAAAGGGCCACCUGUGGACAGUGUGGAACAAAUGACUAAUAAGAAAUACAUAUUUAUUGCAUAAAGAAUAGUUUUGCAGAAACACCCUGGAUGUAAUUAUUUUAUUAAUCUGAAACAAAAUACAUAGUUCGAAGAUAUUAGCCAUAUGGUUAUAAUGGAGAACUAGAAUAGGCUAUUUUAAAGCAUCUGUACAUAUAUUAUAGACCAGCUUUUCCAAUUUGGUGUCCUACAAGCAUGCAUCAGCCAGCCCAUGCUGGUCCCUGCCAGUUUAUUCAGCUAAGAAAAAUCAUUAUGAGAUCAGCUUAGCCUGUACUAAAUAUCCCCCUGUCAUUUUUCACACUGAGCAGUGGAGCAACCAGUAAAAGAAAAAAGUUAUUUUUCCUAGGAAUACUUCCAUUACUCCCAGCUAUAAAAUUGAACCACAUAUAUGGGAAACUGGUAUCCAAUUUGGUGUCCUACAAACAUCUUGCAUAUUUCAGUCAUAAUCCAGCUCUAGUCUCCUGUAAUUGGUGACUAGAGGCUGUAGCAUUUAUUAAGGGACAUAAGAACCUACCUUAUAUGCACCAUUAUUUUUUGUAGUCCAUUACUGUUGACACUGCUGGACAUGCUUCUUCAAAGUUUCAGGAAGGAUCUUUUUCCUGUUCUCUUCAUGGAUUCUAUCAAAACUUUGUAGUAACAAGCAGGUAUGUUUGUAGCAACAAACACCAACCAAACAAGUAUCCCUGAGCUCUUAAUUAGUAAAACUGAUUAAGAAAAGCAUUAAAUGACAACACAACAGUUCCAACCAUUACAUCUGCUUUCAAAUGUGAACCUUAUAUAUAUGCAAUUUAAAGCAGUUAGUUUCCAGCUCUCUUUUUCCAUGGUUUAAAUGGAGGGGUGAUAAAGCCUAUUUCUUCUGGAAAUGUAAGCUAGUCUAUACCUGGACAAUGGCUUACAAAGGCUACCUGUGAUAAAUUCUGAAGAUAAAAUUCCUCUGGUUUAUGAUUGUAUCAAGAAAAGCUUUUUAUAGGUAGAGUCAGGAAAUCAAGUUGUAUUCAGCAUCAACAAAUUAGGAAUGGUGUAAAUUCUAUCUUUUCUUGCUCAUGAGAGCUUAUAUUAUUGUUGGGGAGGGGGAAAGGAAUGAAAUCCACAGACCUCAACGUGACUUCCUCUAAUUUUAUCUAUAUUGCUUUUCAAUGCUAUGACAACUUUUCCUAACCAGCUGUCUUCCAGAUUUUUUUCAAAUAUGAUUUCCAUUGCCGAAUCAUCAUAGUUGCACUAGCCAGGGAAUCAGAGGGUUUGCAUGGCCCAAUUCAAGAUGCUGGUUUUGCUUAUUAAUACCUUUAUGGUUUGGCUCUUUGCUACCUCCAGGACCAUUUCUUGUGAUCUCCCACAGGAUAUAAAUGGAAUGGCAUUCAUAGGCAGAGCUGCUCAGCUCUGGAACAGCUUGCCCUCCCCAAGAUCAAUAUAUUCCCUUCAAGAGGGCAGUAAUUGCUUUGCUCUAUUAUGUGGGGCAGUGACUUUUGGAUGGUGAUUGAUCAAAUAACAUGUUGUUUAUAGGUGUUGUUGCAUUGUAUGGUUUUAAUGUUUUAUGGUGCAAGCCACCUAGAAUCUUUU